rnacentral:rRNA from 1 species
CGGUAAUACGGAGGAUCCAAGCGUUAUCCGGAAUCAUUGGGUUUAAAGGGUCCGUAGGCGGUCAGAUAAGUCAGUGGUGAAAGCCCAUCGCUCAACGGUGGAACGGCCAUUGAUACUGUCUGACUUGAAUUAUUAGGAAGUAACUAGAAUAUGUAGUGUAGCGGUGAAAUGCUUAGAGAUUACAUGGAAUACCAAUUGCGAAGGCAGGUUACUACUAAUAUAUUGACGCUGAUGGACGAAAGCGUGGGUAGCGAACAGGAUUAGAUACCCUGGUAGUCCACGCCGUAAACGAUGGAUACUAGCUGUUGGGAGCAAUCUCAGUGGCUAAGCGAAAGUGAUAAGUAUCCCACCUGGGGAGUACGAACGCAAGUUUGAA